UGUCGCCCCGCGCUACAGCUGUGGAUAGACAUCCACUGGCCCGACUGGCCUCCUCACCUCUCUCUCUCAUUUCUCUCUCUCCCACGCGAUCCCCAAAUCGCCGCCCCUGCCGCCGGCCUCCCCUGCCAACUCCGGCGAGCUCUGGCGCCGUCCAGCAUACCCACGGCUCCCCCUCACCGAGCUCUACCUGCUCCACCUCUUCGAUCUGCUUUCCCCUGCCUCGUGUGGUCGCUCGCUUCGGUCAAACCUCGCUAGGGUUUCGGUGCUUGCGGGGCUAGGUCGCCGGCGUGGUUCCGGCGCCUUGCUCCGGUGUGACUUGAAUCCUGGCUGUGCCUAGGUGUCGCACGCGUCACUGAUGCGGCCCUGGUCGCUGGCGAUGCGGCGGUCGCCUGCCUCUCCACGGCUUCGCGUACCUCGCCUCCUGCCGCCGUGUGAUGGCGGUGAGUUGGCCACACCGCAACCGCGGCGGUGGCGAUGCACGGCCUUGGCUAUAACCCCUUCAUGGUGAGCUUCUCCUUCUCUGCCCUACUGCUGCCUCUACUGCCUAGACCAUGGCUGCGGUGAUCUUGGUCCUCUUCGUGUACUGGUAAUAUGACUUAGGUUUUUGAGGACGCUUGGAUUGAUGGCUAUGGUCUGCUACUUGAUUUGUGCUUUACUGAAAUUAGUUGGGGUAGUUGGUUACUGUUUAGGGUUCAUAUUUGGGCCUAGAUUUGUUGAUGUGCUAAUGCUCCUGUUGAUCCACUAGUCCAUACUCUAGUUCUAGUUCAUGCCUAUGGACUGGUCGUUGGGGAUUUGGUGCUGCUGGUGGUCCUAUGUGCACUUGUUUGAUAUACUAGCACUUUAUCGUUAAUUGACAGUUAAACCAUUAACCUACCAUGCAUAUAGAUGUGUUCCUGUGGAAUUGAUGCUACUUUAACUCUGUGAUCAACUUGUGGUCAUGAUCUAGUUCUGGUUGUAGUUCUUGUUAUUUAAAUGUUCCUUUUAUUUCAGUUUCUCUUGCUGCAAGUAUAAUUACAUGCUUAUAUUCUUGUUGGUCACUUGUUACUCUUCAAGCUGGUAUCUGUGUUUAAUACAUAUUAGUUUUUAUUUAAAUACCAUGUACUGGUAUUUCUUGUUCUGUUUAGUACAUCAUCUUUUAGUGGUUUAGUUGUAUAUAGUGCACAUCACAUAGUCCUGGUAGUUGCAUGUGGUGACACUUCUUUUAUUGCUUUAGUUAUAUCAGAUGUUUCUUUUACAUGCUUAAUAAUUAACAGUAUCAUUGGUUUAAAGGACAUAGCCCUUUAUUUAUAGAUACUUAUAUUGCUUUACCUGGUUCAGUUUAGAAUAGAUGCUCUCUUGGUCUUAGCUUUUCUCUCAUCCUUUCUUUCCUCCUCUUCUAAACUCUACUGAUAAGAACAGUUGCUCCUUGAUCGUAACCAAGCCCAUGAUGCUGGUCUGAGGCUCCUUGACCUUAACGACUUGGCUCUCCAAGCAACAAAAUCAGUUCAGCUGCGCUCUUGGUUCCUCUUUCUUGCUUAUUGGUCAGAUUCUGAAUCUAGAUUCUACUAUUUUGGUUCAUAUUCCAUUGAUUUGGUACGCUACAUCUACAUUGAUGCAUCAACUCUGCUCCAUAAAUAUGGAUACAUGUUUGCAGGCAGUUUUCUUCGACAGUUUUGUGUUGCCAUUGCUCCCAGUCAUCAGAUUCUGUUAAUUGAAAAGGAUCCAAACAAGGCAGUUCCAUUGUUCUGAGCAGCUCUUAACAGUGGUGAACAAUUGAGAGUGCAUUGAAGGAUAUGGCUACUGUACUGAAACAAGCAAACCGGGCUGAAGAAGCCAUCGAUGCGAUAAGAUCCUUCCGUGACCGUUGUCCAAAUGAAGCUCGGGAGUCUCUUGACAAUAUUCUUCUUGACCUAUACAAGAAAUGCGGUAGGACAAAAGAACAGAUUGAAAUGCUCCAGGUUCUUUUGAGUUCCUAGUAGUGGUCUUGGUUCAUUAUUUAAUUCCAGGAUUUGUGAGUUCCUAGUAGGGAACACAUGGACAUGAAGCCACGGCGGCGACGAAUACGAUAUCGACAUUGGGCUGCGGCGACGAUGAUGACGACGACAUCGGCAUCGACACAGGGCUACAGCGGCGACGAAGACGACGACAUCGUCAUGGUGCUGCUGCGGCAGUGACGACGACGACAUCAACACGGCCUUGUGGAGGCGCCGACGCCGACGACAUAGACGCGUGGCAUAUAUUGUGUGUGUGUUUGUGCGCGUGCGUGUGUGUGUGCGUGUGCGUGUGUUAAUUAUCUACAUCAGAUAUGUAUGAUUGAUGAUUGACUGUAUGCAUAACAUGUACGUAUUGUGAAAUGCAUGUCUAAACUGAAAUAGGUAGACUUUUUU